CGAUUAGAKUUUDAUCUUUGUUCUGARCGAUCUCUGGCGGSAUGCUUAUCWCAUGCAWAUYGARYKGGCAUCCUUGUGGUGUCAGCGGMARWCGGGUGAGUAACRCGUGGGWACGUGCCCUUCKGUUCKGWAUAACUCAGGGAAACUUAWUMUUAUACCGGAUACGCCCUUAUGGGGAAAGGCUUGACUGCCGAAGGAUCGGCCCGCGUCUGAUUAGCUGGUUGGUGAGGUUAUGGCUCACCAAGGCGACGAUCAGUAGCUGGUCUGAGAGGAUGAUCAGCCACACUGGGACUGAGACACGGCCCAGACUCCUACGGGAGGCAGCAGUGGGGAAUAUUGGACAAUGGGGGCAACCUGAUCCAGCCAUGCCACGUGAGUGAUGACGGCCUUAGGGUUGUAAAGCUCUUUUCUCCGGGACGAUAAUGACGGUACCGGAGGAAUAAGCCCCGGCUAACUUCGUGCCAGCAGCCGCGGUAAUACGAAGGGGGCUAGCGUUGCUCGGAAUCACUGGGCGUAAAGGGCGCGUAGGCGGCUGAUUUAGUCGAGGGUGAAAGCCCGUGGCUCAACCACGGAAUGGCCUUCGAUACUAGUUGGCUUGAGACCGGAAGAGGACAGCGGA
rnacentral:rRNA from 1 species